ACUGCUGCAACAUGGAGGGCGUUUUGAGAUGUAUCGCAAUUCUUUCCUGUUUCUGCCUGGCUUCAUCCACUAAAGUCCCGGUUUUGUUGUGGUCUUCUUCUAGGUCCUUUGCCGACCUUCCCCAAAGCAAUGGUGGUCAAACAGUGGUCUCCUCGGACUUCAGUAACCAGUACCUGAAACCGCUAACUACAGGAAACAAUGGGAACCUUGUUGUCUUUGUACAGGAUAAGCUAAGUCUGCAGGAUUUUACCCAGCAUGCAGAUGUUUAUAACCCAGAAAGUGAUGGAGGAGUUUUCAAGAAUGUAAAGGGUUUCAUGGAUGAGCUCUCUUCACUGAGUCUUCCAUCAGUUCACCUCCCAGGCCCGGCCAUUGAUGAUAUCAUCAAAACAUUUGAGGGCAAAGUUCACCACGUCAAAGAUCAAGAUGCUAGCAAAAUUGACUUUGACUCCAAAUUGCCCAAUCUUGUUAUUGUGAAAUUGACAUCAAUAUCGGACAGUCCUAAUGAAGAGGAAGGAUUCAGAAAGAAUGAUGAGACGAUCGGUCGAGUGGUGAAACAGCUCGCUAAGCGGGGAGUAAAAUAUAGUGCUCUCUACACGGCCACGAGUUCCAAAGCAGCAGAGAGUAACAAAGUCCGAACUAGGAGAGGUCUACUGAGUGUUGGGGCAGAUAAUAGUGGUACAUUUAUAGAGUAUGCUAAUGGCACUUUGUACAACUCCUCCUGCAUCCUCAUGUAUGUGAGAUCAAUCAACAUAGGGAACUCAACUCAACUAAAUGACCCUAAAAGUUUCACAAUGACAGAUCACUCCUGUGUUGACAAUAAAACUGCCAGCCUGGCUUUUACAUACAAAAACAAUUCGGAGAUUAUUAUGACAAUGAGGUAAGUAUCUCUUCCUUGGUUUAAUGAAUCUUAAUUAUAAUGACUGUGUUUAGAUAUUAUUGAAUUUAAUUACAACAAAAGAUAAAAACGUGUUAAAGUAGGACGCGGUUAGUUUAUAUUUUAUCCCAUGAGAAUUGAAAAAAAAAACAGCUUAAAAAUGAUUGAAGUAAUGAACAUAUUACAGAUUUAUUGUGACACAUUUUUUGUGAUGACAUGAAAUGUACAUGUGAUAUCUUUCUCAGUCUGAUCAUGAACGUGAAUAACGUGUCUGGAUACUGGAGCAUCGAUACCGCCACCGUGAACUGGAAUGAAACAACCUACAACGUGACGUUGAGUAAAGUAUCAGCGCCGUGGGGAUUCUCCUACCACUGUUCCUCCCUAGAAAAACUGGUCGCUAGGAAUAGCGACUUCACCAUGUCCCUCGAAGGAUUUCAGCUGCAGCCGUUUGAUGUGAUGGACUACAAGUUCUCGGAUGGCUGGGACUGCGUCCCUUUCUUUUCGGAGGUGAUCUGGAUGGGACUGAUAGCUACCCUGGCCUUCGUCCUCAUCCUACUCUUUGGAUUCUCCAUGCUCGCCUCCGUCACCACCCAGGACAGAUUUGACGAUCCCAAGGGAAAAACCAUUACCGUCAAUGUUAAUGAGUAGCUGUGAAUGCUGAGCAAAAUUCAGUAGUACAAUCAGCACAUUUUCUUGACUUGUUUUACACCCAAAAAAAAAAUUAUGUUUUGAUCUAGCACUUACAUUAGUAUUUCAUAAAUAUAUAAAUUUUAUAUUUUUAAUCAGAUUCUUUUUAAGGUACCUCACUACACCUACGCUUAUACUUUUUAAGACACUACGUCACAAGAUGGUGAUUUAAAUGUUUUGUUAAACUGUUUUUAUCAUUCAAUUGGGUUGUAUAUCAUCGUAGCUCAGUGGUUUAAGUAUUGGGCUUCUAAACCGCAGAUCAUUAGUUCGAAUCCACUUGGAGCUUUUGUUCAUGUUAACAGAGUUUAAAAAUUUUCAAAAUGUAAUUUUCCAUCCAAAAUUGCACAAUUUUUUGCUUAUUAGUGUUAUAUACUUCUUAUCCAUUAUAAUGAUAUCUAUCACAAUCAAGUAAUUUUCUGCUGAUUUGAGAAAAUAUUUCACGGUGUAGUGAGCCACCUUAAAAUGUUGAUUUCUUUCUUGAAUAAAGUGCUUUUCCUAG
rnacentral:misc_RNA from 1 species